rnacentral:rRNA from 1 species
GAUAAACGCUGGCGGCGUGCCUAAUACAUGCAGGUCGAGCGAACGGACGAGAAGCUUGCUUCUCUGAUGUUAGCGGCGGACGGGUGAGUAACACGUGGAUAACCUACCUAUAAGACUGGGAUAACUUCGGGAAACCGUAGCUAAUACCGGAUAAUAUUUUGAACCGCAUGGUUCAAAAGUGAAAGACGGUCUUGCUGUCACUUAUAGAUGGAUCCGCGCUGCAUUAGCUAGUUGGUAAGGUAACGGCUUACCAAGGCAACGAUGCAUAGCCGACCUGAGAGGGUGAUCGGCCACACUGGAACUGAGACACGGUCCAGACUCCUACGGGAGGCAGCAGUAGGGAAUCUUCCGCAAUGGGCGAAAGCCUGACGGAGCAACGCCGCGUGAGUGAUGAAGGUCUUCGGAUCGUAAAACUCUGUUAUUAGGGAAGAACAUAUGUGUAAGUAACUGUGCACAUCUUGACGGUACCUAAUCAGAAAGCCACGGCUAACUACGUG